CUUGCUCACAGCUAAAUAGAAAAGAUCCAGAAGAAUGACUGUACUAUACUUGCUUGCAGAACUCUUAAUUGCAUUUCUGGUCUCUCGCUGACAUCAUUAUCUACAACAUACAAUAAUGUUGCAGAUAAUGAGAACACAAACAGUUUUAUUACCGCUAGUUAAGUUUGUUAGACUAAUUCAGGAUCUUUUUCCGGGUCCACAUGUCUUUAUUACAAAUCAAAGUAUUUCCUGCCCGGUUUUCCCCAUCCAGGUGAUACAAAGCCUUUCUCUUUCUGCAGACAUCUCCAAUAUUUUCCCAGUCUUUAUAACGACACUAAACGGUGCUAGAAAUCGGUGUGUCUCAUUUGUCAGCCCUUUUUACUGGAGGCUCCUGACACUGUAGUCCACAGAUCACGAACCCAAUUAAAGCAAGCAAUUUGUGUUAAAUUUAUUACGCCGAGAACUGCACUGCCAUUGGCUCAGAGCUCGUCAGGCCUCACCUUUAUCACAUUUAGCAGUUCAGCCUGGUCCCAGAGAGGUCUGUGGUCAUUUUUGUUAUUGUUCCUUUGAUUUAUCUUCCUCAUAGCAGAGAAACUGGCCAGAUACUGCCCUCACUGCCCACUGAGAGUAAAAUAAACUACUGCUUCAUUAUGAACUCUCUUAAACUAGACUGUACUCAUAUACUGGCAGCAGUAUGUAGAGGGAAUCAAUGCUGAGUCGUUCAAAUGUCUUCGCUCAUCACAUUUUAUCCCAAUUGACCAUGACAUCACGUUAAAUAAUAUUACAUUUUUUUAAACUCAGUUACAGCCAUGGUAAAAUGAAAGUACACUCUCAGGUUUUACAUAUCUGGAAAAACUAAAAAAAAAAAACUCUAGUCCUUACCAGGUUUUAAAAUAAGGUAAACAGGACCUGAGACAAACUACACAUGAAAAAAAAAGCCAAAGAACUGUGAAAAGUAAGUACACCCCAUGAUUCGAUGUCUUGCAGAGCCACUUUUAGCAGUAGCAGUGAUUUGAAGUAACUAUUUUUUGAAGGACUUUUUCACUCUCACAUUGUUGUGGUCUGCUCACACUUAUUUACAACAUUGCAUUAGUUCACUGUGGUUUGUAAAUUUAUGCACAUCUCCUGCGCAGCAUUUCAAUCAGUUUGGGGUCUGAACUUUGGCCGGGCCAUUGCAACACAUUCAUUCUUUUCCUGUUAAAUCAUUCUGUUGCAGGCUUGUUGGUGUACUUGGGAUCGUAGUCUUAUUUCAUGACCCAAUUUUGGCCAAGGUUUAGUUGUCAGAUGUCAAAUGACCUCACAUUCAACUCUAGAAUACUUUGGUAUCCAGAGGAAUUGACUGCAAGGUGACCAGUUUGCUGUGGCUGCAAAACAAACCCAAACCCCUCUUUCUCCGCCCCGGACUUGCCCUUGGAAUCCCUGGCACCUUUUCUCCCUUCAUCACUGUAUAUAUGUAUAUUAUCCACCAGUGCUGUACAUAAACUGUUUGACUGCACAGUACAGAGUCCUGCCUAAUAAGUCCAGCAUCAGUAACCAUGAC
ensembl:lncRNA